rnacentral:tRNA from 1 species
GCCACUAUAGCUCAAUUGGCAGAGCGGCUGAUUUGUAAUUAGCUGGUUGAAGGUUCGAUUCCUUCUGGUGGCUCCA